GCUCGCGUGGUGGAAUUGGUAGACACGCUGGUCUUAGAAGCCAGUGCCGAAAGCUUGGAGGUUCGAGUCCUCUCGCGAGCA
rnacentral:tRNA from 1 species